GAUGACAAAAGGUAAGAGGCUAAAUAUAUAUAUACAGACAGCCGUUAUGCCUUUGCCACGGCACACAUCCACGGGGAGAUCUACCGGAGGCGGGGACUGCUCACAUCUGAGGGUAAAGAUAUGGCUAAAAUUCUGGCCCUCUUAGAAGCCCUAUUCUUGCCCAAAAGACUGAGUACAUUGUCCAGGACACCAGAAAGGGCACAACCCUGAGACACGAGGAAACCGGCUGGCCGAUGCCACGGCGCGAGAAGCGGCCAUGAACAAACAAAUCUUGCCCUUAAAUAGCCCAGACCAACCCACGCCCCCACCAGUGGGACAAACCAGUUGGGUUUAUGCCCAUGAGGACAUAGAGCUCCUAAAAAAUGGGGGCCAUCUACCACCCUCAACUAAAACAGUGGGUCUACAAAGGACUUUUGAAUUGAUCUCCUUUUUACAUAAAUUAACCCAUUUGGGGUUUAAGAAGAUGACUAGAUCGGGAAGAGAUAAAUCUGUGUUUUUUUAAAUCGGGACAAAGCGAUACAAAAGGUGACUGAGAGUUACAAAGCGUGCGCUCAGGUUAACCCGGAAAGGACCAUGAUUGGACAAGGAGUUCGUCCUAGGGGACACCGUCCCGACAUCCAUUGGGAAAUUGAUUUUACUGAAAUUAAACCAGGUAUAUAUGGAUACAAGUAUCUCCUAGUGUUUGUAGACACCUUCUCAGGAUGGGUCGAAGCCUUCCCCACAAAGCACGAGACUACAAAAAUGGUCACUAAGAAGCUCCUCGAGGAAAUCUUUCCCAGGUAUGGCAUGCCUCAAGCGUUGGGGUCGGACAACGGGCCCGCUUUCGUCUC
rnacentral:lncRNA from 1 species